rnacentral:rRNA from 1 species
AUGGCUUCUGGAUCCACUUCUUCCGGCUCUGGGAGGAGGGGGCUGGUGUCUUGCGCGCACAGCCUCAACUGCCGCGCCGAGGAUGCGCCUCUGCCUCUUUACCCCGACCUCGAAAAGGCCGUCUACGAGCUCAUCGUCGGCUUCUACGACCAGGCGUUCGACCGGCUGCCCUGCGACAGGAUUCCGGGCCUCCGCGACCUGCUCACCACCGCCGGCACCUGCCUCGGCCUCCUCGACCCCGUCUCCAACAUCAUCCUCAACACCCUCGCCCUCCUCCCCGAAGGCGCUGCCGCCGCAGCUUCCACCGCUCCACCCGCCACAAAGAAGUCCAAAAGACUAGUGCGCAAGGCCUGGGCCUGGCACGACAUUGCAAACAGGUCCUACAACAGUCUCCUGGGCUUCCUCAUGGCGUACUUCGGAUGUCUCUGCACCAAGGAACAGGUCGCCCGCUACAUCUACUGGGCGGGCGCCAAUCUCAGCCUCGCCGUCAUGCUCGUCGAAUACGAUCUCUACUAUAGGGUGGAGGAUACACUGGACCCUGAAUCCGGCAGGACGCAGGCCACCCUCGAGUGGGCGGCCACCAUCGCAGGUCACCCUUCCCCCACCGUUUUGACUAAGCUCAUGUCAUCCCAGCUCAAAGACGACGACUUUCACCUUCUGGAGAAGCAACUCUUUUCAGCAGCAGAUACCCCUCUCAAGGCUGAUGAUGUCGGAGAAAUCGACAGCAUAUUGCGCAUGAUGAUGAGCCCGCCCUGUGUUGCCAGCGUAAGCCAUACCACAAAAGGGCUGGUUGUCCAUGUUCGUCAGAACCUCGACACCGUGUGGUCGACCACCCCCUCCGCUACAGAGGACACCAGGACCACCUCCACCGCUCUCUGCUGGGACGGAAAACCCAUCUCGUCGCUGCAGUGCGGACUGCCUGACAAGCUAGAACGUUGCCUGGAAAGAGCAGGUGGCCUGGAACAAUAUUUGAAGAACCUGUGCAGCAGCGAUGCCUGCGAUUACCUGCAGACUCUCAAGAUGCACCUCCACGGUAUGAUUCACAUGUACUGCGUCAAGGUGCUCAAGCUGCUGCCCAAACCAUCCGGCUCGCUCAUGCGCGCCUUCCUCAUGGCCGGCCACUGCUACGGCUCCAUGGACCCCGUCUCCAACAUCAUCGUCAACUCCAUCUGGUACAACAGCCACGGCUGCCCUCUCCCAGAGUCUGAACGUAGCAAGAUUGAGCAAUACAAUGACAUCCUGGACCCCCUAUCUCUGCUCCGCACACAGGUUCACUCCCUCAAGGGCCUUGUGGAGCUCGCCAAAUUCGCCAUCCCCCAGUUCUCAACAGAGGGUUGUGCUCUGGGGUUGCUCUGCAGUGCAAGAUGCGACGUUUUUGACAGGUUUCCAUCAUCGGCAGAGACGUUUAAAGAGAAGAACCUCUUCCAUGAAGUUGCCAAGGCCGCUGGACACCCUCUACCGCUUCAGCUGGGUGAACUGCACAAGAUGCUGAUGGUAGCACCCGAGGGAGAAGCGCUGCUCUCCUUGACGUCCGAGGCUCAAAGUCAAUGUAGUGUGUUGCGCAUCGAGGACAUGACAAAUCAUAUAAGUCGCAUGUGGCGCGGUUGGGUGGCUGCUAAAACUGGCGGCGUUGUGCAAGCUCCUAAACUUUUUCCAAAGUCCUUGAUGUUCGUGUCAAGCAUGAGAUCAAAGUAUGAGGAGCGGAGGAGUUGGUUCCGCUCAAAGAUUGAACAGGUGCUGAAGGAUUACACGACCCAGCAUUUUUGGGAGCAGCAGUAUAAACUUGAUAUUAUCUGUGGCGUGGAGGCAAUCAACCAAGGUCGCCCCCCCUUGGGUGAGAUGUGCUACCGCGUGAACUUCACUGCUACUUCUCAUUUGGAGCGUGAGAGGAGGCUAUUCUUCGCUGAGUUUUUGUUCUCAGGUGGGCCAAGGCCAGAGACCUGCUGCCCUCUACCCUAUGACUAUGCAGGCCGUUGCUACUAUGGCGAGCAAACUGCGAGGAAAAUUGUGUAUCCUGAUGACGCCAAAUACAUCCCGCACGAUAUCACCCAUCCUGGAACCCGACGCGUGGAUGACAUGCUAGAGAUGGACGUCGUCCACUUCAGUUCCGAGAUGGACGUGGAGCUCACGGAGAAACUCAACAAGAUGCAUGCCAAUUGA